CAGAUUUCCUGGGAUGUGUCAAAAGUUAUAAAACCUGGACAGGCGCCAAUACAUUUACUCCAAAAAUCGGAGCAGAUGCAAAAAAAAGAAUGACUAGCAAUUAUUUGGAAAAAUGACUUGACAAGGACAACAAAUGCUAAAUGGCCACAGAUACUAAAAGAUGGCUAGAAUUUAUUUGUAAAAUAUGUCUGACAAAGUGAAAAAGUCUUGGCACUUCAUUGAACAACAAAUGAUGUGUCUGAUGAAUAUUCUAUGUUAAUCAAGACUGAAUCUCAAGUAAUUAUUGGCUACAUAAAAAUAGGCUAAUAAUUCAGUAAACUGGUACAAUUCAAACCAAGACAAAGACGUGUUAAAUACUGAAUGAUAUUGUAACAAGUGAAUUUUCAUACUGACAUAUUGACUGUUUAAUCAAGAUGAGAUCAGCAAUGAAAAUGAUGGUGAUGAUGAAAGGUAUGUUGGUUUUAGUUUUUCUUCAAAAAAUGCAGCGAAUUUAAUAUGAAAUACAUCCAGUUGGUGAAUAA